rnacentral:rRNA from 1 species
UACGGGGGGAGCAAGCGUUGUUCGGAUUUACUGGGCGUAAAGGGCGCGUAGGCGGCCACCGCAAGUCGACUGUGAAAUCUCCGGGCUUAACCCGGAAAGGUCAGCCGAUACUGCGGGGCUAGAGUGCAGAAGGGGCAACUGGAAUUCUCGGUGUAGUGGUGAAAUGCGUAGAUAUCGGGAGGAACACCAGUGGCGAAGGCGACUACCUGGCCUGUUCUUGACGCUGAGGCGCGAAAAGCUAGGGGAGCAAACGGGG